GCCGGGAUAGCUCAGGGGUUAGAGCGGGCGUCUCAUAAGCGCCAGGUCGUGGGUUCGAAUCCCACUCCCGGCA
rnacentral:tRNA from 2 species